GUCGGAGCUUUUCCGAGUCUUGCUGUGCUAUACUCUCCUGUUUGAACAGAUAUUUGACCAUAAAAAAAUAAAACUGCUUCUUGUAAUUUCCUGCAACAGUCAGAUAUCUCUACUAGAGGAAUCUACUGCUGUGAAUACUUGUAAAGAGGUCUCACACUCAAGAAAGGUUUUAUAGUUCUGCAAGAGAUUUUGAAUCUUUUGGCCAAGCUUAAAAAGACGGCAAAAAGCUGAAAAGAGAAGCGAAGUUGCUACAGGAAAAGGUGGAGAUGAAUGUGAUGUCUAAGAAAGCUCUCAAGUUGCAGCUGCAAUUGGCGAUAUUAAUGCUGCAGAACAUGAAUUUGUUUUGUGUCUGUCAAGCAUUAAUGGUUUGAUGCAGUUAAAAGUGAUGCAUUCCUAGUGUAAAAAUUAAGUACUAACAAGCAGAGACUAAUUCCAUUAGCCAUCAAGUCAGUAAAGUGCUAGCUGGUGCUGCUGAUUGGAACUUGCAUCGUUCUAGAAAAAUCGAAAAAGGAUACUAGACUUGCAAAUCCGAAUAAGAAGAAGAAAAUGUAUAGAUGCAAAAAAAAAAAAUGUAUAAAACUUUUUUAUUCAUAAUAAAUUUGUAAAUAUAUAAAUUGCUCCAAAAUAUUCUUUUUGAAGAAAAAAAAAAGAAAACAAAGAAACAAACUUCCUAAAAUAAUAGUGG